GACGAACCGUGCGAACGUUGUUCGGAAUCACUGGGCUUAAAGGGCGCGUAGGCGGCCGCACAAGUCAGGGGUGAAAUCUUUCGGCUCAACCGGAAAAGUGCCUCUGAUACUGUGCGGCCCGAGGGAGGUAGGGGCGGACGGAACUUCCGGUGGAGCGGUGAAAUGCGUUGAUAUCGGAAGGAACGCCGGUGGCGAAAGCGGUCCGCUGGCCCUCUACUGACGCUGAGGCGCGAAAGCCAGGGGAGCAAACGGG
rnacentral:rRNA from 1 species